AACGAACGCUGGCGGCAUGCCUAACACAUGCAAGUCGAACGAGACCUUCGGGACUAGUGGCGCACGGGUGCGUCACGCGUGGGACCCUGCCCUUAGGCUCGGGAUAACACCUUUACAGGGGUGCUAACAUCGGAUAACGUAUUCGGAUCACAGAUUCAUCCCGUUUGGAUGGGCACGCGUUGGUUUAGCUGGUUGGUAGGGAAAAAGCCUACAACGGCGACGAUAGAUAGCUGGUUUGAGAGGAUGGGCAGCCACACUGGGGCUAGGACACGGCCCAGACUACUGCGGGAGGCAGCAAUGGGGAAUAUUGGAAUAUGGGCUAAAGCCUGAACCAGCAAUGCCGCGUGAGUGAUGAAGGCCUUAGGGAUGUAAAGCUCGUUUACCCGGGAUGAUAAUGACGGUACCGGGAGAAUAAGCUCCGGCUAACUCCGUG
rnacentral:rRNA from 1 species